rnacentral:antisense_RNA from 1 species
AUGUUGAUGCUGGAGCCACCUGCUUCUUAUUCUCUAUCUGCACCUUCCUCUCACCUUCUGUAAACCUGUGAGAGAGACGAGGUAGUGAGAUUGCGAUAGGCUUCUUGUGUAAUUUCAUAGUGGGUAGAGUAGAGAAAGCCUAAUGCAUACUGUUGGGAGAUCAUUAUGUAUGAUUUUGGAAAGGGGGUGAGCAUGAGAUGGGGGAAUAGGGUUACUCUGAAGAAAUGGGAAGAGCAAUCAAGGAGAAGCAUAGUAUUCAGAUUCUCUAAUUUGACCCCAUGGCCAACUUCAUAUUGUUUCCACUAGAUAUCAUUUUAAAUAUUCCUGUGGUUUCGUGGUCCUAAGAAUAUGAAGGCAUGCAAGAUUCCAAGAUUAAAGAUGUUAAAGCCAGAUAGAAAAGAUAUUUAAAUAUUUCAAAAUCUAACAAGUUCAAAUGACUUUAGUUUUAGAAAGAAAAAAACACAUUAAUGAGCCCAAGAAAUACACGCAACUCUGCAACUCUGGUGAGCAUGAUAGACUUCUAAGAGUAAAUGUACUAGAUACAACCUAAAUUCAGGGACUUAUUAAAGCUCUACUACUCAUUACUAGUGACUCAGAGCAAGUAUCUAUAACCUCUCUAAUCUCUAGUUUUCUCAUUAAAAAAUGGGCAUGAUAUUUUACUUGUCUUGUUUGAUUGUUGUAAGGAAUGAAUAAUGUGGCUCAUAGCAAAGAGCCAGGCAGAGUGGAAGCUCUCAGUACAAGUAGCUAUUGUUAUUAUCUAGCCUCCAUGUUUUGGGUGUCCUAGGACAUGCUUUUUUUUUUUUUCCAUUGCAGUAGAUUUCCACCUGUUCCCAUCCUCCACAGUCUCCCAUCCCACCAGCAACACACGUGAGAUAUCUGAUGCCUUCCCAUCAAUAACUCUCACUUAGUAUGGGUAAGCAAAAAAUUUCCAACCAGGGAUGGAAGUUGUGGAGAGAUAGAGUGGGAAAGCUCAAGGAGCAUUGAUAGGGAUCAUUAAUUAAAAAUCUACCAAACAUCUCUUUCUCUCCCUAAUGUGCGAGUUACAAUAACAUCACUCAAAGCAGUUUGCAGCCACAGCUUGAAGAAAUACAGUAACAAUGACAGAAUUAACAUUCACUAUCUUUAUUAACAUUUUUACUUUCUUAAACCUUGUUUCUUUCAAAAGACACUGGCAUAGUCCUGUAUGAAUUAUGUGGAUUUGCCAAGAGAAAAAAAUAAAAUGAUACAACAAAUGGUGUUCCAAGUUUGACAGACCCUUUGUGCCAGUGGCUCUGAAAGGCUUCAGAAUGAAUAUCCAAUUCAGAAAUCAGUCCCUAAUAUUUCAGAUUAGUGAAGAAUCAACAGACUGAACAGCAUUUGUAUUCAGAAAGGAAGAAAAUAAAUGAAUUUUUAAAAUAUCA